rnacentral:rRNA from 1 species
GAUGAACGCUAGCUACAGGCUUAACACAUGCAAGUCGAGGGGCAGCAUCGCGAUAGCUUGCUAUUGCGGAUGGCGACCGGCGCACGGGUGAGUAACGCGUAUCCAACCUUCCCGCAACUGGGGAAUAACCUUGCGAAAGUAAGACUAAUACCCCAUGGUCUCCACGGAUGGCAUCUGAAAUGGAGUAAAGGUUUCGGCCGGUUGCGGAUGGGGAUGCGUCCGAUUAGCUUGACGGCGGGGUAACGGCCCACCGUGGCAUCGAUCGGUAGGGGUUCUGAGAGGAAGGUCCCCCCACAUUGGAACUGAGACACGGUCCAAACUCCUACGGGAGGCAGCAGUGGGGAAUAUUGCACAAUGGGGGAAACCCUGAUGCAGCGACGCCGCGUGAGCGAAGAAGUAUUUCGGUAUGUAAAGCUCUAUCAGCAGGGAAGAUAAUGACGGUACCUGACUAAGAAGCACCGGCUAAAUACGUG